CAUUAUGCUCAGCCCUAAACUUUGAUAGACCAUUACACCCACUAUCCGCCCGGGUACUACGAGCAUUAGCUUGAAACCCAAAGGACUUGGCGGUGCUUAACAUCCACCUAGAGGAGCCUGUUCUAGAACCGAUAACCCCCGUUAAACCUCACCCUCUCUUGUUUUUUCCGCCUAUAUACCGCCGUCGUCAGCUUACCCUGUGAAGGAUCCAUAGUAAGCACAAUUGGUAAGACCCAAAACGUCAGGUCGAGGUGUAGCUUAUGAGAGGGGAAGAAAUGGGCUACAUUUCCUGACCCAGGAAACACGGAUAAUGUUCUGAAACGGACAUUAGAAGGAGGAUUUAGUAGUAAGCAGGAAGCAGAGCGUUCCGCUGAAACCGGCCCUAAAGCGCGCACACACCGCCCGUCACUCUCCCCGAGCUAACAUAAAGCACGUUCCUAAAACCCCACACCUGCAAAGGGGAGGCAAGUCGUAA
rnacentral:rRNA from 1 species